AGUUGGCCACAUUGAUUCUUUCUGACCCAUUUGCAGCUAAUUAGCAACUAAGUCACAAAUACGCAACAGAAAACCACCACCAUGGCCGUUUGGAAGGCUAGAGGAAAGCUAUCUCUCCAUUGCCUCUCAUCAGGUUUUGGCAGACAAUAUGAAGGAAGCCAUGCAUGACCAGCGGUAUAUGAAAACAUGCAUGGUUUUGCAAGUCAAAGCCACCAGGAGGGGUCGCCUCACCCUUGCUGGGGUGACCUUUAUCAGAACAUCAAGAGGAGACCAGCUCCACUAACAGCAUGGAGGAAAGGCGCCCAGCUUCCGUGUCGACAGAAGUGUAAACUGGUGCUGCCCUUAUGGAAAACCAUAUGAAUGUUUCUCGAAAAGUGAAAAAUAGAACCAUGACGCGACCCAGCGAUCUCACUUCUCAGUCUAAAUCUAAAGAUAAGAAAAUCACUGCUUUGAAGAGAAACCUAUCGUCCCAUGUUCUUAGCAGUACUAUGCAAAAGAACCAAGUUCUGAAGAGAUCCGAGUGUCUGUUGGCAGAUGGAUCAGUAAGGAGAGUGCGAUAUAAACAGGGAAGCAGACACACACAGAGAUGGGGGGGGCAGAGGAACAUUGUUUAGCUUUUAACAAGAAGGCUUACACGGGAAACCUAAAACUAGGUUGAACUCAUAGUAACAGGAGAAUGGCAGUUACCUGGGAAUAGGUUUGAAGUGCAGAUCUUAGUCAAAAUAUAAACCUUUAGUUAUAAGAGGAAUAAGUCACCGAGACCUAAUUCAGAGAACAGUGGUGCUGGGUAAUAGUGGUGUCUUAUAUGCCAGAAAUUGUGCAUGCAACAUAUACAUGCACACACAUACAUGUACCCCCUCAUACACACACACAUCACACAUAUAUCCACAUACACAUACAGUACACACAUACACACAUAUACAUAUACCACACACACAUGUAUGCAUAUACAACAUGCACACAUAUAUACACACUACACACAUUCAUAUGUACACAUAUAUGCACAUACAUGCCCAUAUAUACACACAAUUAAUUAUGAGAAGUGACAUAUAUCUUAAUUUGAUUGAGGUAAAGCCUUAUAGAAUGUAGGCAUAUAUGAGAAUACCAUGUUGUGUACCCUCAAUAUAAAAAAAAAUUAAUUCAUCAAUCAUACCUCAAUAAAUAAAUCCCCAGGGAAAAGAAACUAUGACUGAAUCUUAGCCACUUACAGUCCAUGGGGCAAAGGUUCCUGUGCUACUCAUUCACAUGCCUGUGAUCUUCAGGCUCUGCCGACCUCCUCAUCAAGGAGACCAAGAGCAGCCACCAUGCUGAACACCGUCGUCCUCCCCCCCCACCCCUUGCCACAAGCAAAGGUCUCCAGCAGGCCCUGCACCAGCAAGGAGAUGCAGCAGUCUGGAAGCUCAUCCUCAGGACUCCUCACACAGCCCGCCACAAGCAUGGAGGGAAGACAGUCCCACUAAGCCGGCAAGGCAAAGAAGCCAACACACGUUGGCAAACAGUGUAACACUAUGUACUGAAAGACAUGCUAAAAACCUGUAUCCGCGCUGACCCAACCUGGGUCUGGUCCCCAGAAUUACAACAAGCUUUGAUUGGAGGAAGGUUGCAGAAGAGGCCUGGAAAAGAAGACUGAUUAAGCUUUCUUGAGAUUGCCUGCUAAAGAGGUUCCUUUUUACAAGUCUUAACAGACUGCGCCUAAUAGCAAAACUGAUCUCUAUAGAUUUUGCCAGCGUUACACAAUUAGACCAGCAUUUUAGAGCCUUUACUCCAGCGGCCAUGUGGACAUGUAGACGAGAGACUUGUUGAAUUGAGAACACACCUAAGUUGGGAGGCCAGUGAGGAAACUCGUGCAGAGGACAGGGUGUAAAACGUGCACUUAAAAUGAAGUGAUGCUCUUUGCGAUCAGCAAGUUAGGUGGAAGGCAAGGGUCUAAAGAGAAUGUACAGGACUUGUGUGGGAGAAAGUGUGAGGCAAAGGAGCUAAGGAGAGCCUGUGAUUGACAGCACAGCCGCCCAGUGGCUGCCGAGACUUGUAACUUAGAGGGUAGAGGAGAGAGUGUUCAUUCUGGGACAGCUCCUAGGUCAGCUUGUGAUUGACAACCUGAUGGCAUUCUUCCUUACUGUCCAGAGAGAAAUAAACAUCAUGUCCUUGUUUCUAGGCAAACUUCGAGCCUUCAUUUCUGUCUGGUUUAUUUCUCUCACUCAGGCUGAGGACUAGAGCCUCCAUAGCUGGCCAUGAACUUGGCAUGUGAAGAUGGAAGUUUACUCUGCCAUAAUUUCUCCUUGAUUUUCCUCUCUGCACUAAAUUUGAUUUCCAAGAGUACAUAAUUAAAUAAAUUAACAGAAAGACAUGUUCUUUAUAGACUUAA